GACGAACGCUGGCGGCGUGCUUAAAACAUGCAAGUCGAACGGACUUCUCAUGAAGCUUGCGAUUGAGAAGUUAGUGGCGGACGGGUGAGUAACGCGUGGGCAACCUGCCCCUGAGCCCGGGAUAACAGUUCGAAAGGGACUGCUAAGACCGGAUAUACUUGCGGGGAAGCAUUUCACUGCAAGGAAAGGGAACGCUCAGGGAUGGGCCCGCGUCCCAUUAGCUAGUUGGUGAGGUAACGGCCCACCAAGGCGACGAUGGGUAGCCGGCCUGAGAGGGUGAACGGCCACACUGGGACUGAGACACGGCCCAGACUCCUACGGGAGGCAGCAGUUGGGAAUCUUCGGCAAUGGGCGCAAGCCUGACCGAGCAACGCGCGUGAGUGAUGAAGGUUUUCGGAUUGUAAACUUCUUUGGCAGGGGACGAUAAUGACGGUACCUGAGAACAAGCCACGGCUAACUACGUG
rnacentral:rRNA from 1 species